rnacentral:rRNA from 1 species
CCUACGGGAGGCAGCAGUGGGGAAUAUUGGACAAUGGGGGGAACCCUGAUCCAGCCAUGCCGCGUGUGUGAAGAAGGCCCUCGGGUUGUAAAGCACUUUCAGUGAGGAAGAACGCCUGGUGGUUAAUACCCAUCAGGAAAGACAUCACUCACAGAAGAAGCACCGGCUAACUCCGUGCCAGCAGCCGCGGUAAUACGGAGGGUGCGAGCGUUAAUCGGAAUUACUGGGCGUAAAGCGCGUGUAGGUGGCUUGAUAAGCCGGUUGUGAAAGCCCCGGGCUCAACCUGGGAACGGCAUCCGGAACUGUCAAGCUAGAGUGCAGGAGAGGAAGGUAGAAUUCCCGGUGUAGCGGUGAAAUGCGUAGAGAUCGGGAGGAAUACCAGUGGCGAAGGCGGCCUUCUGGACUGACACUGACACUGAGGUGCGAAAGCGUGGGUAGCAAACAGGAUUAGAUACCCCGGUAGUC